UACAGAGGGGGCAAGCGUUGUUCGGAAUUACUGGGCGUAAAGGGCGCGUAGGCGGCCUUCUAAGUCGAACGUGAAAUCCCCGGGCUCAACCCGGGAACUGCGUCCGAUACUGGAAGGCUUGAAUCCGGGAGAGGGAUGCGGAAUUCCAGGUGUAGCGGUGAAAUGCGUAGAUAUCUGGAGGAACACCGGUGGCGAAGGCGGCAUCCUGGACCGGCAUUGACGCUGAGGCGCGAAAGCCAGGGGAGGAAACGGG
rnacentral:rRNA from 1 species